rnacentral:rRNA from 1 species
CUUGAGUCGGCCCCUAAGGCGAGGCAGAAAUGCGUAGUCGAUGGGAAGCAGGUUAAUAUUCCUGCACUUUUCUUAAGUGCGAUGUGGGGACGGAGAAGGUUAGGUCUACCAGGCGUUGGUUGUCCUGGGGAAAGGAGGUAGGCGGUGAUCUUAGGCAAAUCCGGGAUCACUUACGCCGAGCACCGAGACGAGUCCUAUGAGGACGAAGUGACUGACACCACGCUUCCAGGAAAAGCCACUAAGCUUCAGCUUAAGAAAAACCGUACCGCAAACCGACACAGGUAGGCAGGGUGAGAAUCCCAAGGCGCUUGAGAGAACUCGGGUGAAGGAACUAGGCAAAAUGGCACCGUAACUUCGGGAGAAGGUGCGCCCUUUGGUGUGGUCACGUGCGUGACUGAGCAUCGAAGGGUCGCAGUAACCUGGCCGCUGCGACUGUUUAUCAAAAACACAGCACUCUGCAAACACGAAAGUGGACGUAUAGGGUGUGACGCCUGCCCGGUGCUGGAAGGUUAAUUGAUGGGGUCAGCCGCAAGGCGAAGCUCUUGAUCGAAGCCCCAGUAAACGGCGGCCGUAACAAUAACGGUCCUAAGGUAGCAAAAUUCCUUGUCGGGUAAGUUCCGACCUGCACGAAUGGCGUAACGACAGCGGCGCUGUCUCCACCCGAGACUCAGUGAAAUUGAAAUCGCUGUGAAGAUGCAGCGUUCCCGCGGCAAGACGGAAAGACCCCGUGAACCUUUACUAUAGCUUUACACUGAACGUUGAGUUCUUCUGUGUAGGAUAGGUGGGAGGCUAUGAAACCAGGACGCUAGUUCUGGUGGAGCCAUCCUUGAAAUACCACCCUGAAGUGCUUGACGUUCUAACCUAGGCCCGUAAUCCGGGUCAGGGACCGUGUAUGGUGGGUAGUUUGACUGGGGCGGUCUCCUCCCAAAGAGUAACGGAGGAGCACGAAGGUACGCUCAGCGCGGUCGGACAUCGCGCACUGUGUGCAAAGGCAUAAGCGUGCUUGACUGCGAGAUCGACGGAUCAAGCAGGUACGAAAGUAGGUCUUAGUGAUCCGGUGGUUCUGUAUGGAAGGGCCAUCGCUCAACGGAUAAAAGGUACUCCGGGGAUAACAGGCUGAUACCGCCCAAGAGUUCAUAUCGACGGCGGUGUUUGGCACCUCGAUGUCGGCUCAUCACAUCCUGGGGCUGUAGCCGGUCCCAAGGGUAUGGCUGUUCGCCAUUUAAAGUGGUACGCGAGCUGGGUUCAGAACGUCGUGAGACAGUUCGGUCCCUAUCUGUCGUGGGCGUUGGAGAUUUGAGGGGGGCUGCUCCUAGUACGAGAGGACCGGAGUGGACGUUCCGCUGGUGUUCGGGUUGUCAUGCCCAUGGCAUUGCCCGGUAGCUACGAACGGAAGUGAUAACCGCUGAAAGCAUCUAAGCGGGAAGCACGCCCCAAGAUGAGAUCUCCCGAGAGCUUGACUCUCCUAAAGGCACCAUCAAGACUAGGUGGUUGAUAGGUCAGGUGUGGAAGCGCAGCAAUGCGUUGAGCUAACUGAUACUAAUGAGCCGUGAGGCUUGACCA